rnacentral:rRNA from 1 species
CCUACGGGUGGCAGCAGUGGGGAAUAUUGGGCAAUGGGCGAAAGCCUGACCCAGCAACGCCGCGUGAAGGAAGAAGGCUUUCGGGUUGUAAACUUCUUUUGACAGGGAAGAGCAGAAGACGGUACCUGUCGAAUAAGCUACGGCUUACUACGUGCCAGCAGCCGCGGUAAUACGGAGGUGGCAAGCGUUGUCCGGAUUUCGUGGGUGGAAUGGGCGUGUAGCGGGGCUGACAAGUGCGAUGUGAAAUCCGGGUGCUCUACCCCCGAACUGCAUUUGAAACUGUUGGGCUUGAGUAUCGGAGAGGCAGGCGGAAGUCCUGGUGUAGCGGUGAAAUGCGUAGAUAUCAGGAGGAACACCAGUGGCGAAGGCGGCCUGCUGGACGACAACUGACGGUGAGGCGCGAAAGCGUGGGGAGCAAACAGGAUUAGAUACCCGGGUAGUC